rnacentral:rRNA from 1 species
UUGAACCUACGGGACGCAGCAGUAGGGAAUAUUGCUCAAUGGGGGAAACCCUGAAGCAGCAACGCCGCGUGGAGGAUGAAGGUUUUCGGAUUGUAAACUCCUUUUGUUAGAGAAGAUAAUGACGGUAUCUAACGAAUAAGCACCGGCUAACUCCGUGCCAGCAGCCGCGGUAAUACGGAGGGUGCAAGCGUUACUCGGAAUCACUGGGCGUAAAGGGCGCGUAGGCGGGAUAGCAAGUCAGAUGUGAAAUCCUAUGGCUUAACCAUAGAACUACAUUUGAAACUGUUAUUAUAGAGUAUGGGAGG